rnacentral:lncRNA from 1 species
CAUGACCUGCUGUUGCCACUGCUAAAAUGCGCCACUGGCUGUGCUCACAUCCACUGGUUGGUCUCCAUAAACAUUCAGCAAGCGUCAAUUAAUGUCAGUGGGUGCCACUGUUUGUGCGUGGAGGAAUUCAGUGACACACCUUUGCUUCACAUGCACUUCCAUGUCAGAUGCCAUUGUGUCAGACUGCCCCUCUGCUGCCAACCUGUCGAAUGGCAACAAUGUGUAACAGAGUAUUGGCGGGAAGAUUCAACUGCUGCUGCCACACCAUCACUGCAGGUGGUGGGGAGGAGGAGAUGGAAGGGGGGCUUGCAGAACCUUCCUGUCAAGGUCAGAAGGAUGUGGUGGAUGCCAUUUGCCAGCAGUAGUGAUGACUUCCUUGGGCUCAUAGGACUGCGCACAGAACGCACUUCUAUUUCAACAUCACUAAGGUAGGAGCCAAGAAUGGGCUGUUUUUUCUUAUUCUGUUUAUUCAACUGUCUUUUGUUUCUGAAGACCAA